UACGUAGGGCGCAGCGUUAUCCGGAAUUAUUGGGCGUAAAAGAGCUCGUAGGCGGUCUGUCGCGUCGGUCGUGAAAACUUGGGGCUUAACCCUGAGCUUGCGGUCGAUACGGGCAUGACUGGAGUUCGGUAGGGGAGACUGGAAUUCCUGGUGUAGCGGUGAAAUGCGCAGAUAUCAGGAGGAACACCGGUGGCGAAGGCGGGUCUCUGGGCCGAUACUGACGCUGAGGAGCGAAAGCGUGGGGAGCGAACAGG
rnacentral:rRNA from 1 species